UCGGGAAUUUUGGGCAAUGGGCGAAAGCCUGACCCAGCAACGCCGCGUGAGGGAUGAAGGCCUUCGGGUCGUAAACCUCUGUCGGGAGGGACGAAAGGUCGGCGGUCGAACAGGCCGAAGGCUUGACGGUACCUCUAGAGGAAGCGCCGGCUAACUCCGUGCCAGCAGCCGCGGUAAUACGGAGGGCGCAAGCGUUGUUCGGAAUUACUGGGCGUAAAGCGCGUGUAGGCGGCCAGGUAAGUCGGAUGUGAAAGCCCGGGGCCCAACCCCGGAACUGCACCCGAUACUGCCUGGCUGGAGUCCCGGAGAGGAUGGCGGAAUUUCCGGUGUAGAGGUGAAAUUCGUAGAUAUCGGAAGGAACACCAGUGGCGAAGGCGGCCAUCUGGACGGUGACUGACGCUGAGACGCGAAAAGCGUGGGGAGCAAACAGGAUUAGAUACCCUGGUAGUCCACGCCGUAAAACGUUGGGUGCUAGACGUCGGGGUAGUUGACCCUCCGGUGUCGAAGCUAACGCAUUAAGCA
rnacentral:rRNA from 1 species